CGAUCGGUACUCAACUGUUUGUGUCGAUCAACACCAGUAUGAGCUGCCUAUGGAACUUUCGAAUAGAAAAGCAUCUUCUUCCAGCUUCUCCUGCUCGAGCACUUCCCCAAAGUCAUUAUCUGAGAUGGCAUCAACCUGGUGCCUCUCACUUUCCACAGCUUUCCCUUUGACCAGAGCUUUUUGUUUCUUCACAGGUUCUGCAGUCUGAGAAUCCUGGGUAUCUAGCAUCAUGACAUAGACAUCUAAGGUUUCAAAUUUUCCAUUCAACUCUUUGUUAAGAACAUCCAACCUCAGAUUUAAGUAUGCACUUGUCUUCUGCUGAAUUUCCAUCUUUUCUAUAUAGCCCCGAUCCUCAUCCCUCUC
rnacentral:lncRNA from 1 species